UCAACAUUACUAGGAUUUAUCUGUUGAGGAAAAAUGCGUACAUUUGAAUAAGUGAUUUGGUUGGGUUACGUUUGCACCAUGCCGGAUAGGUUUCCGUAGCGGCGCGAAAAAGCACAAUUGGGUCUGUUUCUGAGGGGUAAGAAAAUUAUACAAAAUUUCCGAAGGGGGAAGAAAAAUUUCCAAAUUUCCAAAGGGGUAGUUCCGUGAUGGAACCUCGUCAACAAGUAUUUCCGAAGGGCUUGAGAAAAAUCGUAAACUUCCAUAGGGGGUUCCGCAAAAAAUAGCAAAUUUCCGAGGGGGUCUUCCCAAAAACCGUUUCCGAACGGGUCUAAAAUCAGUAACCUCGUCAACAGGGGGGGGGUGGAUGUUAAAUGGAAUGGCCCGGUCGCAAAGCUUGUCAUCGCCAUAUAAUAUUACUUAAAUAAUUAAUGCAAUGCGGUUUUGAGCGCGCCAUUCAUAAAUGCGCGCUAUUCCAGCAGCAAGACAAUAAUUGGCAGUGAAUGAAUAUAUGUUCGCUUUUAUAUGUUCGCUUGUUUCAUGGGAUAUUCUUUUAUAUGUUCGCAUGCUAUGGGGAAUCAGAGGUUAAUUCAAGGAAAAUAUGUUGCCAAGUGAUUACAGAACAAAAGGUUCCAUGC